CCUCCCACCCUUGUCUCUAUACACCUGUUGCUUUGGCGGGCCCACCGGGGCCACCUGGUCGCCGGGGGACGCACGUCCCCGGGCCCGCGCCCGCCGAAGCGCUCUGUGAACCCUGAUGAAGAUGGGCUGUCUGAGUACUAUGAAAAUUGUCAAAACUUUCAACAAUGGAUCUCUUGGUUCCGGCAUCGAUGAAGAACGCAGCGAAAUGCGAUAAGUAAUGUGAAUUGCAGAAUUCCGUGAAUCAUCGAAUCUUUGAACGCACAUUGCGCCCCCUGGCAUUCCGGGGGGCAUGCCUGUCCGAGCGUCAUUUCUGCCCUCAAGCACGGCUUGUGUGUUGGGUGUGGUCCCCCCGGGGACCUGCCCGAAAGGCAGCGGCGACGUCCGUCUGGUCCUCGAGCGUAUGGGGCUCUGUCACUCGCUCGGGAAGGACCUGCGGGGGUUGGUCACCACCAUGUUUUUACCACGGUUGACCUCGGAUCAGGUAGGAGUUACCCGCUGAACUUAAGCA
rnacentral:rRNA from 1 species